rnacentral:rRNA from 2 species
CUACACAUGCAGCCGAGCGGUAUUUCUUCUUCGGAAGAGAGAGAGCGGCGUACGGGUGCGUAACACGUGUGCAACCUACCUUUAUCUGGGGGAUAGCCUUUCGAAAGGAAGAUUAAUACCCCAUAAUAUAAUGAUUGGCAUCAAUUAUUAUUGAAAACUCCGGUGGAUAGAGAUGGGCACGCGCAAGAUUAGAUAGUUGGUGAGGUAACGGCUCACCAAGUCUGUGAUCUUUAGGGGUCCUGAGAGGGAGAUCCCCCACACUGGUACUGAGACACGGACCAGACUCCUACGGGAGGCAGCAGUGAGGAAUAUUGGACAAUGGGUGAGAGCCUGAUCCAGCCAUCCCGCGUGAAGGAUGACGGUCCUAUGGAUUGUAAACUUCUUUUGUACAGGGAUAAACCUACUCUCGUGAGGGUAGCUGAAGGUACUGUACGAAUAAGCACCGGCUAACUCCGUGCCAGCAGCCGCGGUAAUACGGAGGGUGCAAGCGUUAUCCGGAUUUAUUGGGUUUAAAGGGUCCGUAGGCGGACCCGUAAGUCAGUGGUGAAAUCUCAUAGCUCAACUAUGAAACUGCCAUUGAUACUGCGGGUCUUGAGUAAAUUUGAAGUGGCUGGAAUAAGUAGUGUAGCGGUGAAAUGCAUAGAUAUUACUUAGAACACCAAUUGCGAAGGCAGGUCACUAAGAUUUAACUGACGCUGAUGGACGAAAGCGUGGGUAGCGAACAGGA